GGAGAGAUGGUUGAGUGGUUGAU
rnacentral:tRNA from 1 species